AGUGGACACACAGUUUAACAUGAUGGACUAUAGGACAGGACUGCUGCUUUUAACUGUCUGCUGGGCAGGUGUUGAUGGUCAGACUCUGACAGAAUCUGAACCAGUUGUUAAGAGGCCUGGAGAAUCCCACACAUUGACCUGUACAACCUCUGGAUUCACAUUCAGCAGCUAUGCUAUGAACUGGAUCAGACAGGCUCCUGGAAAAGGACUGGAGUGGAUUGCUUUUGUACACACAGGCAGUACUUCUAAGUAUUACUCCCAGUCAGUCCAGGGUAGAUUCACCAUCUCCAGAGAUGACUCCAGCAGUAAAGUCUAUCUACAGAUGAACAGUCUGAAGACCGAGGACACAGCAGUGUAUUACUGUGCCAGAGAUACACAGUGAGAGACAAUAACAGGAGCGUAAUACAAAAACGACUUCCUCUAUUUGCCAGCACCACUGGGAACAUUUAGUUUCCACUACCACUGUGUUUGAAAGUAAAGUUAAAGGUUCACAAUA